GAUGAAGAACGUAGCGAAAUGCGAUAAGUAAUGUGAAUUGCAGAAUUCAGUGAAUCAUCGAAUCUUUGAACGCACAUUGCGCCCGCCAGUAUUCUGGCGGGCAUGCCUGUCUGAGCGUCAUUUCAACCCUCAUGCCCCUAGGGCGUGGUGUUGGGGAUCGGCCAAAGCCCGCGAGGGACGGCCGGCCCCUAAAUCUAGUGGCGGACCCGUCGUGGCCUCGUCUGCGAAGUAGUGAUAUUCCGCAUCGGAGAGCGACGAGCCCCUGCCGUUAAACCCCCAACUUUCCAAGGUUGACCUCAGAUCAGGUAGGAAUACCCGCUGAACUUAAGCAUAUCAAUAAGCGGAGGA
rnacentral:misc_RNA from 1 species